rnacentral:rRNA from 1 species
UACGGAGGGGGCUAGCGUUGUUCGGAAUUACUGGGCGUAAAGCGUGUGUAGGCGGUUCGUUAAGUCGGGUGUGAAAUCCCUGGGCUCAACCCGGGAAUUGCAUUCGAUACUGGCGGGCUAGAGUACGGUAGAGGGCGGCGGAAUUCCGGGUGUAGCGGUGAAAUGCGUAGAUAUCCGGAGGAACACCGAUGGCGAAGGCAACCGCCUGGGCCUGUACUGACGCUGAGACACGAAAGCGUGGGGAGCAAACAGG